rnacentral:rRNA from 1 species
GACGAACGCUGGCGGCGUGCCUAAUACAUGCAAGUCGAACGAGAGCGACCGGUGCUUGCACUGGUCAAUCUAGUGGCGAACGGGUGAGUAACACGUGGGUAACCUGCUCAUCAGAGGGGGAUAACAUCCGGAAACGGAUGCUAAAACCGCAUAGGUCUUCGAGCCGCAUGGCUUUAAGAGGAAAAGAGGCGCAAGCUUCUGCUGAUGGAUGUUCCCGCGGUGCAUUAGCUAGUUGGUGAGGUAACGGCUCACCAAGGCCGUGAUGCAUAGCCGACCUGAGAGGGUGAUCGGCCACAUUGGGACUGAGACACGGCCCAAACUCCUACGGGAGGCAGCAGUAGGGAAUCUUCCGCAAUGGACGCAAGUAUGACGGAGCAACGCCGCGUGAGUGAAGAAGGUUUUCGGAUCGUAAAACUCUGUUGUUAGAGAAGAACAAGUGCUAGAGUAACUGUUAGCGCAUUGACGGUAACUAACCAGAAAGCCACGGCUAACUACGUG